AGGACGAACGCUGGCGGCGUGCUUAACACAUGCAAGUCGAACGGUGAACCACUUCGGUGGGGAUCAGUGGCGAACGGGUGAGUAACACGUGGGCAACCUGCCCCUAGCUCUGGGAUAACCUCGGGAAACCGAGGCUAAUACCGGAUAUGACUCCGAGCGGCAUCGCUUGGAGUGGAAAGUUUUUCGGCUAGGGGAUGGGCCCGCGGCCUAUCAGCUUGUUGGUGGGGUAAUGGCCUACCAAGGCGACGACGGGUA
rnacentral:rRNA from 1 species